rnacentral:rRNA from 1 species
UACAGAGGGGGCCAGCGUUAAUCGGAAUUACUGGGCGUAAAGCGUGCGUAGGCGGUUCGCUGUGUCCGAUGUGAAAGCCCCGGGCUUAACCUGGGAAUGGCAUUGGAAACUGGCGGGCUUGAGUGCGGCAGAGGGGGGUGGAAUUCCGCGUGUAGCAGUGAAAUGCGUAGAGAUGCGGAGGAACACCGAUGGCGAAGGCAGCCCCCUGGGUCGACACUGACGCUCAGGCACGAAAGCGUGGGGAGCAAACAGG